ACACGUAGGGAGCGAGCGUUGUCCGGAAUUACUGGGCGUAAAGGGCGUGUAGGCGGCCUGUCAAGUCAGGUGUGAAAAUCCAGAGCUCAACUCUGGACGUGCACUUGAAACUGGCAGGCUUGAGUGCAGAAGAGGAAAGUGGAAUUCCCAGUGUAGCGGUGAAAUGCGUAGAUAUUGGGAAGAACACCAGUGGCGAAGGCGACUUUCUGGUCUGUAACUGACGCUGAGGCGCGAAAGCUAGGGGAGCAAACAGGAUUAGAUACCCUGGUAGUCCUAGCCGUAAACGAUGGGUACUAGGUGUAGGGGGUUUAGACGCCCUCUGUGCCGCAGUAAACACAUUAAGUACCCCGCCUGGGGACUACGGCCGCAAGGCUGAA
rnacentral:rRNA from 1 species